rnacentral:rRNA from 1 species
UCGGCAAUGGGCGAAAGCCUGACCGAGCGACGCCGCGUGUGGGAUGAAGGCCCUCGGGUUGUAAACCACUGUCAACGGGGAGGAAAUACAGAAGGGCUAUCCCUUCUGUUUGACCUAUUCUAGGAGGAAGUACGGGCUAAGUUCGUGCCAGCAGCCGCGGUAAGACGAACCGUACAAACGUUACUCGGAAUUACUGGGCUUAAAGGGUGCGUAGGCUGCGCGGAAAGUUGGAUGUGAAAGCCCUCAGCUCAACUGGGGAAUUGCAUUCAAAACUGCCGUGCUCGAGGGAGACAGAGGUAAGCGGAACUCAAGGUGGAGCGGUGAAAUGCGUUGAUAUCUUGAGGAACACCGGUGGCGAAGGCGGCUUACUGGGUCUUUUCUGACGCUGAGGCACGAAAGCCAAGGUAGCAAACGGGAUUAGAUACCCCGGUAGUCUUGGCUGUAAACGAUGAGCACUUGAUUGAAGGGUCCUUCAUAGCCUUUCAGUCGUAGCGAAAGUGUUAAGUGCUCCGCCUGGGGAGUAUGGUCGCAAGGCUGAAACUCAAAGAA